rnacentral:rRNA from 1 species
GAUGAACGCUGGCGGCGUGCCUAAUACAUGCAAGUCGAGCGAACAGACGAGGAGCUUACUCCUCUGACGUUAGCGGCGGACGGGUUAGUAACACGUGGAUAACCUACCUAUAAGACUGGGAUAACUUCGGGAAACCGGAGCUAAUACCGGAUAACAUGUUGAACCGCAUGGUUCAACAGUGAAAGACGGUCUUGCUGUCACUUAUAGAUGGAUCCGCGUCGCAUUAGCUAGUUGGUAAGGUAACGGCUUACCAAGGCAACGAUGCGUAGCCGACCUGAGAGGGUGAUCGGCCACACUGGAACUGAGACACGGUCCAGACUCCUACGGGAGGCAGCAGUAGGGAAUCUUCCGCAAUGGGCGAAAGCCUGACGGAGCAACGCCGCGUGAGUGAAGAAGGUCUUCGGAUCGUAAAACUCUGUUAUUAGGGAAGAACAAAUGUGUAAGUAACUAUGCACGUCUUGACGGUACCUAAUCAGAAAGCCACGGCUAACUACGUG